AUUGAAGAGUUUGAUCAUGGCUCAGAUUGAACGCUGGCGGCAGGCCUAACACAUGCAAGUCGAACGGUAACAGGAAGCAGCUUGGCUGCUUUGCUGACGAGUGGCGGACGGGUGAGUAAUGUCUGGGAAACUGCCUGAUGGAGGGGGAUAACUACUGGAAACGGUGGCUAAUACCGCAUAACGUCGCAAGACCAAAGAGGGGGACCUUCGGGCCUCUUGCCAUCAGAUGUGCCCAGAUGGGAUUAGCUUGUUGGUGAGGUAACGGCUCACCAAGGCGACGAUCCCUAGCUGGUCUGAGAGGAUGACCAGCCACACUGGAACUGAGACACGGUCCAGACUCCUACGGGAGGCAGCAGUGGGGAAUAUUGCACAAUGGGCG
rnacentral:rRNA from 1 species